CGAGUAGGUGGCCAUCUAAGUCAGACGUGAAACUCCCCCGGCUUAACCUGGGAACUGCGUCUGAUACUGGACGGCUUGAGUAUGGGAGAGGGAUGUAGAAUUCCAGGUGUAGCGGUGAAAUGCGUAGAUACCUGGAGGAAUACCGGUGGCGAAGGCGGCAUCCUGGACCAUUACUGACACUGAACCGCGAAAGCUAGGGGAGCAAACG
rnacentral:rRNA from 1 species